rnacentral:rRNA from 1 species
GCCAGCAGCCGCGGUAAUACGUAGGGUGCGAGCGUUGUCCGGAAUUAUUGGGCGUAAAGAGCUCGUAGGUGGUUUGUUGCGUCGGAAGUGAAAACCCAGGGCUUAACUUUGGGCUUGCUUUCGAUACGGGCAGACUUGAGGAAGGUAGGGGAGAACGGAAUUCCUGGUGGAGCGGUGGAAUGCGCAGAUAUCAGGAGGAACACCAGUGGCGAAGGCGGUUCUCUGGGCCUUUCCUGACGCUGAGGAGCGAAAGCGUGGGGAGCGAACAGGAUUAGAUACCCUGGUAGUCCACGCUGUAAACGGUGGGUACUAGGUGUGGGGUCCAUUCCACGGGUUCCGUGCCGUAGCUAACGCUUUAAGUACCCCGCCUGGGGAGUACGGCCGCAAGGCUAAAACUCAAAGGAAUUGACGGGGCCCCGCACAAGCGGCGGAGCAUGCGGAUUAAUUCGAUGCAACGCGUAGAACCUUACCUGGGUUUGACAUGGAUCGGGAGUGCUCAGAGAUGGGUGUGCCUCUUUUGGGGUCGGUUCACAGGUGGUGCAUGGCUGUCGUCAGCUCGUGUCGUGAGAUGUUGGGUUAAGUCCCGCAACGAGCGCAACCCUUGUUCACUGUUGCCAGCACGUUAUGGUGGGGACUCAGUGGAGACCGCCGGGGUCAACUCGGAGGAAGGUGGGGAUGACGUCAAGUCAUCAUGCCCCUUAUGUCCAGGGCUUCACGCAUGCUACAAUGGCUGGUACAGAGAGUGGCGAGCCUGUGAGGGUGAGCGAAUCUCGGAAAGCCGGUCUCAGUUCGGAUUGGGGUCUGCAACUCGACCUCAUGAAGUCGGAGUCGCUAGUAAUCGCAGAUCAGCAACGCUGCGGUGAAUACGUUCCCGGGCCUUGUACACACCGC